CUGUGGUCUCUCCAAACUGCCAGCUAAGGAGCCUCAAAGGAUGGGAAUCCCAAAUGUCCAGCUCUGUGGGGAUUGGCAAGCCUGUCAUGGUACAUUCCUGUCCUGGAGUGUCACACAGCCUCUAAAAAGAAUUUAUUCGCACUAAAAUGUAAAGCUCUUCAAAAUUCGGGAUGAAAAGAUCCAGGUGCACAGACUGUUCUGAUUGGGGUGAAAAGAACCCUGUUACAUGCAUAUUCACUUAUCUGUCUGUAUGCAGAAGUUGUCUGAAAAGAUGGGUACCUGAGGAGCUGCUGGAGGUGGAGACUGGGAGACCAGAAGUGAAGAAGAACUGGGAGUUCACAUUCCAGGGGGCCUGAGAGAUGAGUGACUGGCAGCAAACAGGACUCUCCCCUGGGGGGCUUUACAAACCUCUCUGCCUUCCAGGACCCGGAUUGGACAGAGGGGAGAGGCAGUCUGGGGUGAACUGGCUGAAAUGCGGGGCUGGGUAGGGGGAAAUGCAAGGUGCAACAUAUAGGAGGCUGGAGUUGGUUUCUGUACAGCCCCCUUGGACAGUAAAGAGUUAACCAACAAUCACUGCUGACUCUGGACCUGAAUUCCCCCAGGCUUGGGCCAGAGCCCUUCAGAGAAAAGCCAGGAAAGAGAUAGUAAAUAGCUCACACUCUUCCAGAGCCCUGUUAAAC
rnacentral:lncRNA from 1 species